GUUUCUCCUUAUUUUGGAAACAAGUGCACAUCACAAUGUAGAUGCAAAACAUUUGGUUGUAACCACGCCAAUGGGACAUGUACAAUACCUGGAUGUAUAUCUGGGUGGAAGGGAACGUCAUGCUCAACACAAUGCCCCAUAAACAUGUUUGGAGAAGACUGUCUCCUUACAUGUCAUUGUAUGACCCCCGGAUGUAGCCGCUUCAAUGGAACCUGUUUCUCAUCAGAUGGUUGUAGUGAUGGAUACAUUGGUAGCUCGUGCAGUACAAAAUGCAAAUCAGGACAUUUUGGUGCUAACUGUGCGAAACAAUGUCGUUGUAAGGAUACUGCAUGUAGUCAUGUGACAGGAAACUGCUCUGCAUCCGGAUGUCUGCCAGGCUGGAGGGGUGAAACGUGUAGUGAACGAUGUCCAAAUUCAUCAUAUGGACAAGAUUGUAAGUUAACGUGUGGACAGUGCUUCAACAUGACGGGAUGUCAUCACGAAAAUGGAGAAUGUGAAGAGGGAUGCUUGGAUGGUUACUUUGGCAAUUCCUGCC